rnacentral:rRNA from 1 species
UUAGUGGUUUCUGGUUUUUCAAGAAAUGAAUUUAAUUCAUGCGUCUUGUUUAGAUUUUUAUUAUUUUUUAUUUGUCUUUAUUGGGCGUUAAGAUUGAGGGGGAUUAGCUCCUUAUUUUAUUUUUAUAAUUUUUGUUUUUAUUUAAUUUUGUGGAUUUUAUAGUGAUUUUCGAUUUGAUUAUGUUAAAAUUUUAUUUUUUUCUUUUGUUAUUUAAUUUUAUUUAAUUUUUUUAUUGGAAUGUUUUCUUUAUUUUUUAUUGGAUUGUAAUUAUUGUGGAAUUAGUAAAUCUGUUUGUUGUGUUGUUUAUAUUUUUGUUUAAUUUCUUUUGAGGAAUUAGGCAAAAUUUUUGUGUCCGCCUGUUUAACAAAAACAUCUUUUCUUGUUAGUUUUUGAAGUAUGGCCUGCCCGCUGACUUGAGUGUUGAAGGGCCGCGGUAUUUUGACCGUGCAAAGGUAGCAUAAUCAUUAGUUCUUUAAUUGUGAUCUGGAAUGAAUGGCUUGACGAGGCACAAGCUGUCUUAAUGUUGAAUGUUUUAUUGAAUUUGGUUUUUGAGUUAAAAUUCUUAGAUGUUUUUGUGGGACGAGAAGACCCUAUAGAGUUUAACAUUUGGUUUAUUUGUUUGUUUGUUGUUUGUUUGUUUUAUUGGUGAGUGGACUUUUUGUUUUGUUGGGGUGAUGGGAGGAAUAUAAUUAA